GUGCCAGCAGCCGCGGUAAUACGGAGGCUGCAAGCGUUAAUCGGAAUUACUGGGCGUAAUGCGCACGCAGGCGGUCUGUCAAGUCGGAUGUGAAAUCCGCGGGCUCAACCUGGGAACUGCAUUCGAAACUGGCAGGCUAGAGUCUUGUAGAGGGGGGUAGAAUUCCAGGUGUAGCGGUGAAAUGCGUAGAGAUCUGGAGGAAUACCGGUGGCGAAGGCGGCCCCCUGGACAGAUACUGACACUCAGAUGCGAAAGCGUGGGGAGCAAACAGGAUUAGAUACC
rnacentral:rRNA from 1 species